rnacentral:rRNA from 1 species
AACGAACGCUGGCGGCAUGCCUAACACAUGCAAGUCGAACGAGACCUUCGGGACUAGUGGCGCACGGGGGCGUAACGCGGGGGAACCUGCCCUUAGGUUCGGAAUAACUCCCCGAAGGGGGUGCUAAUACCGGGUAACGUAUUCGGACCAAAGAUUUAUCGCCUUUGGGUGGGCACGCGUUGGAUUAGCUUGUUGGGAGGGUAAAAGCCUACCACGGCGACGAUCCAUAGCUGGUCUGUGAGGAUGAUCAGCCACACUUGGACUGAGACACGGCCCAGACUCCUACGGGAGGCAGCAGAGGGGAAUAUUGGACUACGGGCGAAAGCCUGAUCCCGCAAUGCCGCUUGAGUGAUGAAGGCCUUAGGGUUGUAAAGCUCUUUUACCCGGGAUGAUAAUGACAGUACCGGGAGAAUAAGCACCGGCUAACUCCGUG